UAAGUGGGAACUUUUCUGUAGUUUUAGCAAAUUACCAAAUAAAUGUUCAACUUUCUGUUGCAGGUUUCCUGAUAAAUCAAAGCAGAGAGACCUUUACCUGGAGUGGGUCAGGCUAUGUAGACGGACAGUGGACCCCAGUAAUACUGCUCUCGUAUGCAGUGCUCACUUUCGUCCAAGUAUGGUAAAUACUACCAUGCAUCAUGCACAGCUACGUGAGGGAGCAAUUCCAGAAUUGGUUGAUCUACCAAGCCACUUGCAGGUAUCUACAAGGACCAGGUCAACUGUCACAAGUACAAGUGCAGACUUACCAGUGCCCAUGCCUCAACCUGGGCCUUCUACGGAACAAAUGCAUACGGAGCACGCAUAUCCAUUACCAGCUGAAGUUACACCUGACAGUAGGAUUUCUGAGCUGGGAACCCAGGUGGAAUCAUUACGUAGAAAGCUCAAGAACACAAAGGCCAGAGAGAAGAGGGCAAAAGAAACGACCCAAUCAUUGCUGAAGGAGUUGGAAGAAAAAAAUCUGAUAAAUGCAGAGCUUGAGGUUCGCCUGGAAUCUUACAAAGACAUACCAUGUGACCUCUUCCAAAAACCAACAAAGGAGUAUAGUGCUGCACAGAAAAACUUUGCCCUAACAUUACACCUCUACUCAAGCAAGGCGUACAGGUACACCAGAGAGACGAAGGGAAUCAACCUUCCUG